rnacentral:rRNA from 1 species
AAUAGCCUAACGGCUGAACCAGCAACUUGGAGGAAUGAAUAGCAAUAAUUGCACAAACAUAUGAUGCAAUAUCGACUCAGUCGAAUAAAAUUCUGGCUAAAAUUAUGAUAAUGACAUUGUUUAGCCAUGUGUCUUGACCAAAUUACGUGCCAGCAGUCGCGGUAAUACGUAGAAGACUAGUGUUAUUCAUCUUUAAUAGGUUUAAAGGGUACCCAGACGGUAAAUCAAGCCCUAAAAGGGACUAAUUUUCUAGAGUUACUUACGUGGGGGUUUUAAAGUACUAAUGGUGUAGAGAUAAAAUUUUGUAAUAUCAUUUUUCAAAAGAAAAGUUAUGGCACUGAUAAAGGCGAAAGCAUCCCCUUAUGUGAUAACUGACGUUGAAGGACGAAGGCUUUGGAUCGCAAAUAGGAUUAGAUACCCUAGUAGUCGAAGCAGAAAAUCAUGAGUGUUAUAAAUUAGAAAUUUAUUUUAUUUUAUAAAUGAAAGUGCAAGCACUCCACCUCAAGAGUAAUUUGGCAACAUUGGAACUGAAAUCAUUAGACCGUUUCUGAA